UGGGGAAUAUUGCGCAAUGGGCGAAAGCCUGACGCAGCGACGCCGCGUGUGGGAUGAAGGUUUUCGGAUCGUAAACCUCUGUCAGAAGGGAAGAAACCGCACUGUGCUAAUCAGCAGUGCCUUGACGGUACCUUCAAAGGAAGCACCGGCUAACUCCGUGCCAGCAGCCGCGGUAAUAUGGAGGGUGCAAGCGUUAAUCGGAAUUACUGGGCGUAAAGCGCACGUAGGCUGCUUUGUAAGUCAGGGGUGAAAUCCCACGGCUCAACCGUGGAACUGCCUUUGAUACUGCUUAGCUUGAAUCCGGGAGAGUGUGGCGGAAUUCCAGGUGUAUGAGUGAAAUCCGUAGAUGUCUGGAGGAACAUCAGUGGCGAAGGCGGCCACCUGGACCGGUAUUGACGCUGAGGUGCGAAAGCGUGGGGAGCAAACAGG
rnacentral:rRNA from 1 species